rnacentral:rRNA from 1 species
AUUGAACGCUGGCGGCAGGCCUAACACAUGCAAGUCGAGCGAGCGGCGGACGGGUGAGGAAUGUAUGGGGACUGCCCGAUAGAGGGGGAUAACGACUGGGAGCGCUAGCUAAUACCGCGUACUAUCGAGUAACGCCGAUGGGAUUAGCUAGUGGGGGGGGUAAUGGCUCACCUAGGCGACGAUCCCUAGCUGGUCUGAGAGGAUGAUCAGCCACACUGGGACUGAGACACGGCCCAGACUCCUACGGAGGCAGCAGUGGGGAAUAUUGCACAAUGGGCGCAAGCCUGAUGCAGCCAUGCCGCGUGUAUGAAGAAGGUCUUAGGGUUGUAAAGUACUUUCAGUCGGGAGGCGUUACCGACAGAAGAAGCACCGGCUAACUCCGUGCCAGCAGCCGCGGUAAUUC